GACAUUGGUCAUAGAUAGAUGCAGAGUUUGUGGUUCACCCAGCAUGACUGACACCAUCAGAAAGAAUGGCAAACUAGUUUAUCGUCAUCCACCCAAGACACUGCACUAUGGCUCCUGAGUCCAACAGGUGCCUCACAUAUGGGAAAUAGUAAAUAACAUUUGACUGUGUGAUACAGUCAGGGUAACUGAACAAAGAUAAAGAGAUCUUCAGGGUAAACACUGGUCAACCGAUUGUAUCCAGUCAGAGAAGCAGGAAUCUGUGUAUCUGAGAAACCUAAUAUAUCCAAUGAGAUAAGACUCACCCACAGAAUAGUGAGAGAAAAUAAAUCAGAGUUAUAAGUGUGGCAGCAGUGCCACAAACUGGGUUAUACAUGGGAAAACUAUCAAGGGAGAAGUAAAAAAGACAAAACUACACUUGGCCUUCUAACCUUUGCAAUAACUCUAUUAUGACUCUUGCUGUGUGGCCAUCCAUGGGCUUACCUUUAUCUUUCAGAUGCUUCUUCAAAGAAUUAUCCUGCCUAGGAGGGAUGACAGAAGAUAAACAGUCGUGUCACUUGUCACCUGAGGAAGAAACGUUAGCAAUUGAGAGCUCUGUGCAGCUCAAUCGAUAUCACCGGGCUGUGCCCGUUGAUGGGUUUUCAUCUAGUCAUUUCUCAGAGGCAGAGCACUUCCCAUGAAGAGGCAGUUAAGACAUCUUGUUUGCUCUCUCCUCCAUUGCUAAUGCUAUGUUUUCCUCAUCUCCUAAAUGAAUCACAGAUGGUCCCUCACUUACAGUGGUUCCUCUUACAAUAUUUUGGCUUUACAAAAGUGCAAAAGCCCUAUAUGUGCAGUAGAAGCUGAACUUUGAAUUUUGAUCUCUUCCUGGGCUGGUGGCAUGAUGCUCUCACGAGAUGCCAGGCAGCGGUACUGAGCUGUGGCUCCCAGUUAGCCAUGAGAUCACGAGAGCAAACAACUGACCCUCUGCGGUGUUAUGUGUUGCUAAGCUGUGCUGUUUGCCUGGUUAGUUGCAUUAAUACACUCCCCACUUACGAUAUUUUCAACAUACAACAGAGUAAGUGGGACAUCUGUGGUGUCAUAACCCAGCUCAUUUCUCUACCCAUCCCUCUCCCCCCCCCACUCUUUAUAUUGUUAUAGAACUACCUUCAAUGACACAUCUUAGUGUGGAAAAUUACAUCAACAUCCCAUGUUUUAGCUCUCUUACCCCUUGGAAAGCUUAAAUUUUAUAAUUUCUUCUGAAAGGUGGAGGGAGGAAAAUACUCUUCACCUGUUGGUUUUGAGCUUGAUCAUGUGACUGGAGUCAUCCAAUAAGGUGGAGUGACUGUGCCCAUGUGCCUGCUCCAAGCCUUGGGGUUUAAGGAGCUGGUGGCAUUUCCUCUUGCUCGUUCUCACUUCUUGCCAGGAAAGAGGCACACCUAGCCCAACUACCGUCCCCACCACAAAGACACCCUGCUUACUGUUUCAGCUGCCUAUUUCCACCCCAGCUUUCUUUCUGACUCCAUAACAUUUUGUCUUCACUUUGGGAUAUCCCCCAAUAUCCUUUCAGAGUUGGUUGUUACGGCACUGACUAGUUAGGUAUCCAAAUCUGUAUUCACCUCUUCCUUUGUGUGACAAAUCUCAAUUUUUUUUUUCAGCCUGGCAGUGUUCCCAGGGAGCCCCACAGAUCUCCCUCUAUGUAGCUCAGGGCUGAGAGAUGCAGAAGUUGCAAUUCUGAUGAAUAUAGUUGCUUUUAUUUCUGUACAGCUUCCGUAUAAGGACCAGGAGUUUAGCUUCAUCCACUUUUGUUCUUUACUACUCGGCAGAGUGGCGAGCACACAGCAGAUCUUGGUACUGCUUGCUGAAUGCUGUGGAAGCAGUCACGUGGUAUGGAAGCCAAGGGAUGGAGGAUCUAAGCUUGGGUUCCAUUCUUCACCAGAGAUCCUACAACACCUACUAAUUUAUGUGCUCCCCAAAUGGCAUACUAAUUUCUUCUGCGUCUGAGAGCAAACUCUACUGUAUUCUACAGGGAACAGAAAAGAAUAUUGACAAUACAUGAACUCAAGAACACUGCUUUACUGACUAUUAAGAAUUUUAAGCCACAGAGAACAAACUCAUUUACCUGUUAACAAGCUGACACAUCAUUAGUUCUACUAAGAGGCCAAGGUUAGAGGGAUACCUCUCACCUUCCCUGCCCUGAUAGCCACCUAAGAACUCUUUCUAAACAAAUACUGAGAAUGUCAUAGUAAUAUACCAGGAUUUGUCCCUUUAUCCUCACACAGGGACCAAGGAAGAGGGGAGAGUGGUCUCGGGGCCAUCUGGAGCUGUGUUCCCAGCCACCACACCAAUCCCGGGGACAGUGGGCCCAAGCAAAGAUGGUCAAUGAGUUGCCACUCCUGCAUACCACCUCAUUCUCCAACCUCACUCAUUUUGCUCUUCUGACAUUUUCUUCGGAGGUGGCCAGAUUCUUCUUCUCUUACACAAAAUAAAAGAAAAUCCACCCCUGGACAUUUUUCUGAAAACCUGCCAGUCAUCUGCCUGCCAUUCCUGUUGAUUUCUCUCCUCUCCCACAGCCUCAUGCGGCUUUGGUUUCACCACCCUACUGAAACCACCACUCAGGAGCGGGUCCUAAAUGCAAUCACAAAUGCCCUUAGAAGAAACAGAUGAACAGGGAGAUUUGACUAUCGAAGAGUGGUAACUGUGGCCUGGAAAGCACAGACUGGGCUGUAAAGCUAUCUGAUUUACAUCUGCUUGAGCCUGGAGCUUGAAGUGAAAGGCAUUGGACAAUUGCUAACACUUUGAAGAGAAUGUCUCUCUUGUUAAAAAAGAAGAAGGAUGAGGAGGAGGAAGAGGAAGAGGAAGAGGAGAAGAAGAAUAUGACGCCACGCCUUGCUUCCAUUUCUCUAAAAAUGUUCUCUAAAGGAUAUCAUCCAUUUGAAUGCACUGUAAGAAUAUCCUAUACUGUAAGGUACAUGUGAUAUGUGCAUUUAAAGUAGCUGUAUCUCAAUAGAGCUCAAGUCCCCAUAGUUCACCCAUUUGAAGUAUAUGAUCCAAUGCUUUUCAGUUCAUUCAAAUGGUUGUGCUAUGACUGUCAAAACUGAUUUUGGAACAUUUGUGUUUCUUUCAGUAAAAACACUGACUGUGUGCAGAAGCACAUACCUGUCACCUCAGCAUUCAGGACUGUGUGUAGAAGUACAUGCCUGUCACAGCAUGCAGGACGGUGUGCAGCAGCACAUGCCUGUCAUCUCAGCAUGAAGGACUGUGUUCAUCUCAGCAUGCAGGAGGCUGAGGUGAGAAGAUCCAGAAUCUGGAGUCACCCUGAAAUGCAAGGUCUAGAUUAGCUUGAGCUACAUAGCAUUCCUGCUUCAAAAACACAAACCGCCACAUCACCAUCCCCAUGACUACCACCAUCACCACCACCAUCACCAUCACCACCACCAACAAAAACCAAACCAAACUAAAGUUCUCUGUCAGUGAGCAGUUGCAUUCUUAUUCCCUCAGCCUCACCCUAUGCAAACGACAGUGUGCUUCAUCUCUUAGGUAUUUGC